UCCUACGGGAGGCAGCAGUGGGGAAUUUUGGACAAUGGGGGCAACCCUGAUCCAGCCAUGCCGCGUGAGUGAAGAAGGCCUUCGGGUUGUAAAGCUCUUUCAGCCGGAAAGAAAUCGUGCAACCUAAUACGUUGUAUGGAUGACGGUACCGGAAGAAGAAGCACCGGCUAAAUACGUGCCAGCAGCCGCGGUAAUACGUAGGGUGCGAGCGUUAAUCGGAAUUAUUGGGGGUAAAGCGUGCGCAGGCGGUUUUGUAAGACAGAUGUGAAAUCCCCGGGCUUAACCUGGGAAAUGCAUUUGUGACUGCAAGGCUAGAGUACGGCAGAGGGGGGUAGAAUUCCACGUGUAGCAGUGAAAAGCGUAGAUAUGUGGAGGAAUACCGAUGGCGAAGGCAGCCCCCCGGGUCGAUACUGACGCUCAUGCACGAAAGCGUGGGGAGCAAACAGGAUUAGAUACCCCGGUAGUCCACGCCCCAAACGAUGUCAACUAGGUGUUGGGGGAGGAGACUCUCUCAGUACCGCAGCUAACGCGUGAAGUGACCGCCU
rnacentral:rRNA from 1 species